rnacentral:rRNA from 1 species
GCAGCCUGAUGCAGCCAUGCCGCGUGUAUGAAGAAGGCCUUCGGGUUGUAAAGUACUUUCAGCAGUGAGGAAGGUGGAUGUGUUAAUAGCRCAUUCAUUUGACGUUAGCUGCAGAAGAAGCACCGGCUAACUCCGUGCCAGCAGCCGCGGUAAUACGGAGGGUGCGAGCGUUAAUCGGAAUUACUGGGCGUAAAGCGCAUGCAGGUGGAUGAUUAAGUCAGAUGUGAAAGCCCGGGGCUCAACCUCGGAAUAGCAUUUGAAACUGGUCAUCUAGAGUACUGUAGAGGGGGGUAGAAUUUCAGGUGUAGCGGUGAAAUGCGUAGAGAUCUGAAGGAAUACCAGUGGCGAAGGCGGCCCCCUGGACAGAUACUGACACUCAGAUGCGAAAGCGUGGGGAGCAAACAGGAUUAGAUACCCUGGUAGUCCACGCCGUAAACGAUGUCUACUUGGAGGUUGUGGCCUUGAGCCGUGGCUUUCGGAGCUAACGCGUUAAGUAGACCGCCUGGGGAGUACGGUCGCAAGAUUAAAACUCA